rnacentral:misc_RNA from 1 species
GAUGAAGAACGCAGCGAAAUGCGAUAAGUAAUGUGAAUUGCAGAAUUCAGUGAAUCAUCGAAUCUUUGAACGCACAUUGCGCCCGCCAGUAUUCUGGCGGGCAUGCCUGUCCGAGCGUCAUUUCAACCCUCGAACCCCUCCGGGGGGUCGGCGUUGGGGAUCGGCCCUGCCUCUUGGCGGUGGCCGUCUCCGAAAUACAGUGGCGGUCUCGCCGCAGCCUCUCCUGCGCAGUAGUUUGCACACUCGCAUCGGGAGCGCGGCGCGUCCACAGCCGUUAAACACCCAACUUCUGAAAUGUUGACCUCGGAUCAGGUAGGAAUACCCGCUGAACUUAAGCAUAUCAAUAAGCGGAGG